rnacentral:tRNA from 1 species
CAGAAAAUAGUUUAUUAAAAUUUUAAUUUUGGAGAUUAAAGAUAAAGAAAGUUCUUUUUUUCUGA